AAAGGAUUUAGGACACUUUUAGAAAUAAUUAAAAUUUGAAAUAAAAUAGAGCUAAUUAAAAUAAAAUUGUAUGUUUCAAAUUUAUUAAGUCAGUUAAAAGUAAAAUAGAAUAUAAAGUCAAAUAAUUCAUUGGCACAAGAAAAUAUAACAAAAAGAAACUACAAUCAAAAGAAUUUAUGAUUCAUAAGAGUAACAGACAUUAGAUAAGAUACAAGAUCAUGCUUAAAAUAGAAGUCAAGAAUCUGGAUUAAAGGUUAAGUAGCACGCUUUAGAAGUUGCUAGGUCGACGGACAGAUGUAUGUCGAAUUGAUAUUACAUCCAAGGUUAUAACCAUAUUCACAGAAUGUGUAGAUACUACAGCAUCAUGAAUAUUCAGUAAUACAUGUAGGCACACAAGAUUGUAUAAAUAACCAAUCAAAAAGUUAAGAAACGAAGAUUGACGUACACAAGAUAUUAAUUAAAAUUUAACAAUCUUUAAUUAUCAAUUAUUAUAAAGAUCAGAAAUUGAAAUUCUUCCAAAAAUAUUAUGUUAUUUAGUUUAAGAAAUAAAAGUCCAAAUGCUUUUCAAAAACAAAUAAAUACAAUUUGCAUAUUAUGAAGCAAUAAAUGUUUUGGCAACACAUUCCAAGAAGCUCAAUCUUGUCUGGGGAACAAGAAUGUCGGGUAAUGAGUAGUGACUAUAAAAGCAAAUAUAAGUCUACUGCCCGCACAUUAUACACAUUACAAUCCUUGUUCCUACCAGCAAAUUGAGUUGUCUUAUUUAUUUCAUUAAAAAGGUAAGUUAUAUAAUGUUAAUUUAAGUAAUUUAAUAAAAUAAAUUAAUUGCAAAUUAAAAGG
rnacentral:lncRNA from 1 species